AUGAACGCUGGCGGCGUGCCUAAUACAUGCAAGUCGAGCGAACAGACGAGGAGCUUGCUCCUCUGACGUUAGCGGCGGACGGGUGAGUAACACGUGGAUAACCUACCUAUAAGACUGGGAUAACUUCGGGAAACCGGAGCUAAUACCGGAUAAUAUAUUGAACCGCAUGGUUCAAUAGUGAAAGACGGUUUUGCUGUCACUUAUAGAUGGAUCCGCGCCGCAUUAGCUAGUUGGUAAGGUAACGGCUUACCAAGGCAACGAUGCGUAGCCGACCUGAGAGGGUGAUCGGCCACACUGGAACUGAGACACGGUCCAGACUCCUACGGGAGGCAGCAGUAGGGAAUCUUCCUCAAUGGGCGAAAGCCUGACGGAGCAACGCCGCGUGAGUGAUGAAGGUCUUCGGAUCGUAAAACUCUGUUAUUAGGGAAGAACAAAUGUGUAAGUAACUAUGCACGUCUUGACGGUACCUAAUCAGAAAGCCACGGCUAACUACGUG
rnacentral:rRNA from 1 species